UUACGGAAUUUUACUGUUUUAUUUUACAGUUUUUUCCACGUAAUUUUGAAAUACAGUUUAAAAUUGUAAAAUUACAGAAAGAGACUGUAAAUUUACAUAUCUUAUGUAAAAUCACAUGAAAAACAUGUCAAUGUGCAUAACGUCCCAAAAAUAUUUUUGAAGAUUUAUUUCACAUAAUGCGCUAUAUUUAUAUGUAGUAUGUGCAGUAUGUGUGUGUGUGUGUACGUGUGUGUGUGGCAUUAAUAAUAUAAUGCCAUAUUUUUUAAUAGAUUAAAAAUAUAAAUAACAACUGUACAAAAGUUAACGUUCAUUAUUAUUAUUAUUAUUAUUAUUACUAUUGAUAUAAUAUGUUGUAUAUGUAGCCUACAUUGCGUGUUUGCAUAAAAGAGCAGGUUAAUCCUUUUUUGAACAGGUUUGUUGAAAAAUCCUUCUCGAAAGAAUCGUAUUUCCAAAGUACUGUCAACUGACCACAUCUUCUUCCGCUUGUCAAAAUAGUUCUGCUCAGUUUGGUGUUUUAUUACGGAUUUAUUCUCAUAGUACCGUUUCAUAAUUUGAUAUAAUAAUAUAAUAAUAUGCUGAUAUUAAAAUUAAAAAAAAUAAAAAAUGUAAUAUUCGAACUGAAGGAAUUCCCGCCCUAGCGCAAGGACACAUUCUCCUCCAAGCACGCAGUGGAGCUGCUGCGCGCGCAGAAGGAAUAACUCGACCUUCAGUUUCACGGUCAAUCUUCAAUCUGAGGCGAAAAUAAGCAGAUAAGUUCAGUGAGUGCUAAAACCAUGGUCAACAUGAAAGGUCAUAGUUAACGACCACAUCACCAUCUUCUGCAACGCUCUGAUGUUUGCUUCAUACAACUGCUUGAACAUUUCAUACCCAGGAAACCAAGGAGAAACGCAAGAGAUUGUGCAAAGAUUCCUUUUUAAGAUGAACCCCGAGAAGGGAUCGAAAGUGGAGAAGACCACAUCGAGAAAGAAAUCAGCAGUCAGUCCAAAGGUUCUUUCACUGAUUAACAAGAUUGCGGACUUUGAAAGGAUGGAGUAAAACUUGGAGUGUCAGAUCUUCCUACAUUGCCUAGCAGAAAUUCUUGACAGUGUCAAAGACUUAAAAUACUUGCUGAUUAUUUGCUUUCAUGGUUGAUUUUUUUUUUUUUUAAUGCAUCAUCUGUUGUCAAGAUGAAUUAAUCUGUUCACAGGUGGUUCAGUUUUAAGGACAAAUUAAUUCUUAUUUUUUAUUUGUUUACCAAUUUGCUAUAUUGUUGCAGUUUUGAACAAUUCUUUUGUGUGUUGUUGCAGUUAUUAAAUAUAUAUAUAUAUAUAUAUAUAUAUUAUAUACUGUUGCAGUUAUGAAAAAAAACUGAAUUGUAUGUGGUUGCAGUUGUGAUCUAAUUUAAACUUUUGGGCUUAUUUUUUUAUUGGAAUAUUGUUGCAGUUUAGCUAUAAUCUCUAUACUGGUAUAUUGUUGCAGUUUUGUACAAAGAAUAUUAGUAAAUUGCAGUCCUGAACAAACUAUUUGUAUAUUCUUGCAGAUUGGUCAAUAAAUUAUUAAAACACA